GACGAACGCUGGCGGCGUGCCUAAUACAUGCAAGUAGAACGCACAGUUUAUACCGUAGCUUGCUACACCAUAGACUGUGAGUUGCGAACGGGUGAGUAACGCGUAGGUAACCUGCCUGGUAGCGGGGGAUAACUAUUGGAAACGAUAGCUAAUACCGCAUAAUAUUAAUUAUUGCAUGAUAAUUGAUUGAAAGGUGCAAAUGCAUCACUACCAGAUGGACCUGCGUUGUAUUAGCUAGUAGGUGAGGUAACGGCUCACCUAGGCGACGAUACAUAGCCGACCUGAGAGGGUGAUCGGCCACACUGGGACUGAGACACGGCCCAGACUCCUACGGGAGGCAGCAGUAGGGAAUCUUCGGCAAUGGACGAAAGUCUGACCGAGCAACGCCGCGUGAGUGAAGAAGGUUUUCGGAUCGUAAAGCUCUGUUGUAAGAGAAGAACGGGUGUGAGAGUGGAAAGUUCACACUGU
rnacentral:rRNA from 1 species